UGUUGGUUUACGGAUCCGCCGACCCGAUUUUGCCGAUUUCCAGAAUAAAAAUAAAAUUGACUUUUCAUGCUUUUUUAUUCCCGCCGACCCUAAGAAAUGCAUUAUCCCUGAAAAAUAAUUAAAAUAAUUUUUUUUUAUGAAAUGAAAUGCAUUAAUCACUAACAAAAUUGAUAACACUUGCUGUUGUGAAAAAAUAAAACUUCCAGUUUACGUUUUUAAAUAUAGACAAAUCAAUUAUCAUAAUAACUGACCUUGAAAUGUCGUUUGCACAAAUAAUUUUGCGGAACGAAACUUGUGUUUAAAACCAAUUACACAAUAAGUUCGUUUCCCUUAUUUGUCAUCAGUCCGUAAGAUGCAUCAUCUCAUAGAAAUAGACUUGUCCAAAUGUGGAUAGGUUGAAGGCAUCAAGUUGAAGUAUUGAAUAUUAACAAAUCAUUUGGAAUUUUCUUGUUUCAUAGAUAAUAAAAAAAUUAUCGUCCAUUUGGAUAAAAAACGGGAAUGCGAGACAACAGAUUGACCCGAUAAUCUCGUUUUUCCAAUGGACGAGUCUAUUAGGUUUUUGACACGUGUGUUGAAACUUAUUUUCGUACGACGUUUUUACAUUUUUUUUCUUUAUCAGUUUUCGUGCUUGAAGAUCAUUAUUCACCAAGUUUUCUGGAAUUGAUUAAGAGCUACGCGAAUCUAUUUUUCUUGUUUCUGAAAUGACGAUUUAAUUUCAUCUUUGUCCGUGCACCCUCCUUUUUUUUACUGUAAAUUAUUAGACAAUGUCAUGCGAUGUUUAUAACAGCUGAGCAAUAAUAUUUCAUUGAACUAAAAUUUAAGAAAUGAUGAUAAAAUGGCAUAACAAACAUAUUGUUAGAAAGGUGAAAUAUAUAUUGAUUUUGCAUAUUUUUCUGUCUUCAAAGAUGAUUUUUUUUCUUUUUUUUUCCCGACCGACCGACCCGACUUUUUCAUGGGGAAAAUCCGUAAACCAACAAAUUAAAAAACCGUGCCUAAAUGGAUGAUGUACUUUUAUUUACUUGUUUAAUUGUAAAAUUAAACCCUUCAACCUGUCAACCUGUCGACCUUAACAUUUGUCAACCUGUCAACUUGUCGACCUUAACAUUUGUCAACCUGUCAACCUUAACACUUAUCAAACUGUCAACCUGUCGACCGUAACACUUGUCAACCUGUCAACCAUAACACUUGUCGACCUAUAUAGUGUCAACCUGUCGACCUGUCAGUCUGUAAAUUUAUGUUCAUAUACAUCGAUUUACUUCUAAAGUUAAACCGAUUUAUUACUCUGUUCUCCGAAGGAACUACAGUACCGUUUAUCCUAC
rnacentral:lncRNA from 1 species